rnacentral:rRNA from 1 species
ACUCAAAUGAAUAGACGGGGGCCCGCACAAGCAGUGGAGUAUGUGGUUUAAUUCGAAGCAACGCGAAGAACCUUACCAGGGCUUGACAUACCCUUGACCGGCAUAGAGAUAUGCCUUCUCUUCGGAGCAAGGGAUACAGGUGGUGCAUGGUUGUCGUCAGCUCGUGUCGUGAGAUGUUGGGUUAAGUCCCGCAACGAGCGCAACCCCUGUUGUUAGUUGCCAGCAUUCAGUUGGGCACUCUAACGAGACUGCCGGUGAUAAAUCGGAGGAAGGUGGGGACGACGUCAAAUCAUCAUGCCCCUUAUGUCCUGGGCUACACACGUACUACAAUGGCGAUAACAGAGGGAAGCAAGACAGUGAUGUGGAGCAAAUCCCCAAAAGUCGCCCCAGUUCAGAUUGCAGGCUGCAACUCGCCUGCAUGAAGUCGGAAUUGCUAGUAAUGGCAGGUCAGCAUACUGCCGUGAAUACGUUCCCGGGCCUUGUACACACCGCCCGU